rnacentral:rRNA from 1 species
UACGAAGGGGGCGAGCGUUGUUCGGAUUUACUGGGCGUAAAGGGCGCGCAGGCGGCUAUUUUUGUCAGGCGUGAAAGCCCCGGGCUUAACCUGGGAACUGCGCUUGAAACGGGAUGGCUAGAGAUCGGGAGAGGAGAGUGGAAUUCCCAGUGUAGAGGUGAAAUUCGUAGAUAUCGGGAGGAAUACCAGCGGCGAAGGCGGCCUUCUGGACGGUGACUGACGCUGAGACGCGAAAGCGUGGGGAGCAAACAGG